rnacentral:precursor_RNA from 1 species
UCAGAAGAGGCUACUACUAGCUAUCUAGCUUCAUGUUUAACUCUUCUUGGUUUGUGUUUUUGUGUGCUUGUUGGAGUUGUUAGGAGGAAGAGAGGGGUGAGAGGUGAGGCUGACAGAAGAGAGUGAGCACACAUGGUGACUUUCUUGCAUGCUGAAUGGACUCAUGCUUGAAGCUAUGUGUGCUCACUUCUCUCUCUGUCAGCCAUUUGAUCUCUCUUUCUCUCUUUCUCCCUCAUGUGUUAUACUGUUCUCUCAUAUCUUCUUCUUUGAGGUAGUAAUAUACUUGAGCAAAUUAAGCUGCUUAAUUAUUUGUGUAUGAUGAUCAGCUGCUGAUCCGGCCUCAUUUCUUGCAUAUAUGAGAUCAGUUUCAACCACAACCACAUACAUGCUUGUUCAUUUUUUUUCACAAAGAAAGAGAACAGUUUAAUAUAAUUUCUUGGGGUUUUUGGAUCAGUUAAUUUGUCUUGAGAGGGGAAGAGAUCUCUAUGGGUUUUGGAGGUCUGACAGAAGAGAGUGAGCACACACGGUGCUUUCUUAGCAUGCAAGAGCCAUGCUGGGAGCUGUGCGUGCUCACUCUCUAUCUGUCAGCCGUUCACCAUGCCCAAUAUGAUUAAUCUCCUUCUCUCAGUUGACAGUAAUUUCUUUGCCAGAUCUCCUGUUAAAUUUUCUGCCUAGCUAGCUAUUAUGCACAUGCUUAUUAUGAUGAGCCUGCCAAUAUCAUCUCCACGGCAAAACACAAACUAGCUAUGAUUUGAUUCAUUAUAUUUCUUUUCGCUGUUUAAUUAAUUAUAUGCAG